rnacentral:lncRNA from 1 species
GCUCCACCGCCCUGACCAUAGACAGGUUCUUCUGCAUAUUAGUAUGGAACUUCCUUUGUUCAGUUGUGGGGUUACUGUGAGGUCACGGCUUGAACUGGUGAUGGAGCACCUGUGAGGGAGUGCAGCUGGCCCAGGGUGCACAGGCACAUUGUUUGCACCUGUGCUCCCUAUGCAACCAGAAGGAGUGGACACAGAGUAGAGCCCCAGCUGGGCUCAUAUAAUGGCCAGCCAUGGGAGGGGAAGGUUUCUUGGAUGUGGGCUGCUUCUUGGGAAGGAGUGCUUUGUGGCUGAAGAUCCCCUUCACCAGUAGGUCGGAGGCCGUUUCCCCUUGCCCUAAGGGCUGCAGCAGUUCUAAACUGCGGAGCCCUGAGAUUGAACGAGGAGCCCCGCAGCACCUCCCCUCCCCCGUCGCCAACCGAAGCUCGGGAGGGACUGAACUGCAGCCGUUGCUUUGCGGCUCCCGUGCGAAAAGCACGCGGGGUGACCGCUGGCGGGGAGCGCUCGGAGGAGCGGCGUCGUUUCCCAUAGCGAUGCUGACGUCCCCGCACCUGUGCAGCCCGUGGGCUUCCAGCGGCAGCUCUUCGUUCCCCCGGCGGGUCCCGGAGCGAGGCGGGCUGACAAAGAGCGGAGUUUUCUCCCGGGGCGGAAUGAGUGAACCCAUCGCUGCGAACACAGCGCGGGCGGAUUUCGGUGCAAUUAGCUCCGCAAAUACCACGACAUGCAGUCUGCGAGCGGACUAAAAGGUCUCCUAAACAAUUAGGGGACCGCGGCCCCGUGGACCCCUGUCAUGCACAUUAAUGUCACCAGCCUCAGCAGAGGCUACGCGUGCUUUGAUGCCGGGGGAAUCCAGCGUUUGAUGACCCCAUAAACUUCGUACCGGUUUUGGUCCCGGCUCCCACGAUUCGGUGGCGUUUUAUUUACUGCGCCUCGUAACGUUUAGUCCAUAAACAAAUAGGGGCUGGGGAGAAGGGCCGGCGUGGGCUUAAUUACCUCAAGUCUCUGCCUCCUCUUUUGUUAUGUGCAUCAUGGAUACUUGGCAGCAUUAACAUUCCUGGAAUUGUAUCUGCCGUCCUUUGUAAAAGGAUUGAAUGCGACGCAUUAGUUCGGGCUCGUGGGGCAUUUGUGUCUCCAACAACAGCUUAAUUAUGGACAUUGUUUACUAAUCAGUAUUAAAUUGACAGACUAUCAGGGCUAAUCUGGAGAUUAACACAAUAGCUUGUUUUCAUUUUGUCCUUCUAGCAGUUUAUUGAAUGCAGGAUUUAAAACAAGACCCUCUUGUGAGCCUUCCCUUCCGCACCGCAGCUGUGUGACCGCGUCCAGACCCGUCUAUUUGUUUUCUGCACUGUAGAGUCAGAGCAAACACUGGCGUGCUGUAGAAGCACCUACCAAGCCCAGGCCGCCCUGCAUGCCGCUGAACGUAAGGGCGACAGGAGGUGCGCUUCGGUAGGGCUCAGCAGCUCGCUCAUCUUCAGGCUGCCUUACAGCAACGGAGCCCGGGCCGCGGGCAGUGAUCUGCGCAGGGAGGAGAGCCGAUGUUGCUCUGUGCGAAGUUAUUCAGUGACAGCCGUGUGUGUUUCUGGGACGUCUGCUUUGCCCAUACAAAAUGUUAAGCUCCCCGGCAGGUUUGUUUUGCCUGUGCAAGAAUUCCACCGUUGGCCACGAAAGCGGCCCAGGGGCUGAAUGUCGGUUCUACACAGGCAGAGGUGCCCG